rnacentral:rRNA from 1 species
GAUGAACGCUAGCGGCAGGCCUAACACAUGCAAGUCGAGGGGCAGCACAGAAACAGCAAUGUUUUGGUGGCGACCGGCGGACGGGUGCGUAACGUGUAUGCAACCUACCUUUAACAGGGGGAUAACGGAGAGAAAUUUCCACUAAUACCCCAUAACAUCGAUCAAGGCAUCUUGAUUGGUUGAAAACUCCGGUGGUUAAAGAUGGGCAUGCGUUGUAUUAGGUAGUUGGUGAGGUAAUGGCUCACCAAGCCAACGAUACAUAGGGGGACUGAGAGGUUAGCCCCCCACACUGGUACUGAGACACGGACCAGACUCCUACGGGAGGCAGCAGUGAGGAAUAUUGGUCAAUGGGGGCAACCCUGAACCUGCCAUGCCGCGUGCAGGAAGACGGCUCUAUGAGUUGUAAACUGCUUUUAAACAGGGAUAAAGCACAGUAUGUAUACUGUGUUGAAGGUACUGUAAGAAUAAGGAUCGGCUAACUCCGUGCCAGCCGCCGCCGUAA